UACAUAGGAUGCAAGCGUUAUCCGGAAUUACUGGGCGUAAAGGGUUCGUAGGCGGCUAUUUAAGUCAGGGGUGAAAUCUUCGGGCUCAACCCGAAAACUGCUUCUGAAACUAAUUGGCUCGAGUGAGGGAGAGGCUGAUGGAAUUCUGCAAGUAGGGGUAAAAUCCGUUGAUCUGCAGAGGAACACCAAAAGCGAAGGCAAUCAGCUGGACCUCAACUGACGCUGAAGAACGAAAGCGUGGGUAGCGAACGGG
rnacentral:rRNA from 1 species